rnacentral:rRNA from 1 species
UAUAUUUGACUAUGGGGGCGACCCUGAUCCAGCCAUGCGUCGCGUGUGAAGAAGGUCGUCUUUUUGUAUAGCACUUCAAGUUGGGGGGAAGGACUGUAGGUUAAUACCUUGACGUUUUGAUGUUACAAAUAGAAUAAUCCCCGGCUAACACUGUGCCAGCAGCCGCGGUAAUACAGAGGUUGCAAGCGUUAGUCGCAAUUACUUGGCGUAAUGAGCGCGUAGGUGGUUAAAUAAGAUGGGUGUGAAAUCCCCGGGCUUAACUUGGGCACUGCUUUCAUAACUGCUGAGCUAGAGUACGGUAGAGGGUAGUGGAAUUUCCUGUGUAGCGGUGAAAUGCGUAGAUAUAGGAAGGAACACCAGUGGCGAAGGCGACUACCUGGACUGAUACUGACACUGAGGUGCGAAAGCGUGGGGAUCAAAC